AUGACAUGCCUGCUCGUGCCGGCUGUCGCAUGCGCUGCCCGCGCCCCCGCCGGACAUAAAACCACCGGCCACGGUCACCAGCAGCCCAAGAUAGGAGUCACGCGUGGCGUGAGAAGCAAGGUGUCUGCCGCCAGGGCCGGAAUGGACGGCGGCGCUCCCCCGGCCAUCGCACCGGACGCCGUCAUCAACCUCGAGCUCGGCGACCCGACCAUGUACGAGGCGUUCUGGAGGGAGGUCGGGGAGCGGGCGGCGGUGGCGAUCCCGGGGUGGUCCGGGAUGAGCUACUUCUCCAAUGCCCAGAGCCUCUGCUGGUUCCUCGACCCGGAGUUCGAGCGCGAGGUCCGCCGCGUCCACCGCCUCGUCGGCAACGCCGCGGUUGACGACGGCUACCACCUCGUGGUCGGCACCGGCGCCACCCAGCUCUUCCAGGCGGCCAUGUACGCCCUGUCUCCCGCCGGCGCCCAACGGCCCGUCGGCGUCGUCUCGCCGGCGCCCUACUAUUCGUCGUACCCGCCGCAGACGGACCUCCUGCUCUCGGGGUUCUACCGGUGGGCCGGCGACGCCAACGCCUUCGACGGCGAUGCCCACAUCGAGCUGGUCUGCUCGCCCAACAACCCCGACGGCGCCAUCCGCGAGGCCGUCCUGAGCUCCGAGUCCAGCAAGGCGAUCCACGACCUGGUGUACUACUGGCCCCAGUACACGCCCAUCACCGGCGCCGCCGCCCACGACAUCAUGCUCUUCACCAUGUCCAAGGUCACCGGCCACGCCGGCGCCAGGCUCGGGUGGGCGCUCGUCAAGGACCGCGACGUGGCCAAGAAGAUGGUCUACUUCGUGGACCGGAGCACCAUCGGCGUGUCCAAGGACUCGCAGGUCCGCGCCGCCAAGAUCCUCGCGGUGGUCUCCGACGCCUACGGCCCCGGCGAGGACGACACGCGGCUCCGCCUCUUCGACUUCGCGCGGCGGCGCAUGGGGGAGCGCUGGCGGGUCCUGCGCGCCUCCGUGGCGGCCACCGGCGCCUUCAGCCUCCCGGAGGAGACCGCCGGCUACUGCAACUUCACCAAGCAAACCGUGGCAGCUUACCCCGCGUUCGCGUGGCUGCGCUGCGAGAAGGCUGGCGUGGAGGAAUGCGCCGAGUUCCUGCGCGGCCACAGCAUCGUGGCGCGGGGCGGGGAGCAGUUCGGGGGAGACGCCAGGUGCGUCAGGGUCAACAUGCUGGACAGGGACAGUGUGUUCGACGUGCUCAUACAGCGCCUCUCCUCCAUAACAUGA
rnacentral:rRNA from 1 species